GGUUAAGCGACUAAGCGUACACGGUGGAUGCCCUGGCAGUCAGAGGCGAUGAAGGGCGUGCUAAUCUGCGAUAAGCGCCGGUAAGGUGAUAUGAACCGUUAUAACCGGCGAUACCCGAAUGGGGAAACCCAGUGUGAUUCGUCACACUAUCAUUAACUGAAUCCAUAGGUUAAUGAGGCGAACCGGGGGAACUGAAACAUCUAAGUACCCCGAGGAAAAGAAAUCAACCGAGAUUCCCCCAGUAGCGGCGAGCGAACGGGGAGGAGCCCAGAGCCUGAAUCAGCAUGUGUGUUAGUGGAAGCGUCUGGAAAGGCGCGCGAUACAGGGUGACAGCCCCGUACACAAAAGCGCAUGUGCUGUGAGCUCGAUGAGUAGGGCGGGACACGUGGUAUCCUGUCUGAAUAUGGGGGGACCAUCCUCCAAGGCUAAAUACUCCUGACUGACCGAUAGUGAACCAGUACCGUGAGGGAAAGGCGAAAAGAACCCCGGCGAGGGGAGUGAAAAAGAACCUGAAACCGUGUACGUACAAGCAGUGGGAGCCCCACCACUAAGCCAGUGGUGAACUCCACAUACGCAUCCUUUGCUGAGGAUACGGUUAACGGAGCGAAAGCGACGUUCAACCUCAAAACAAGCAGAGGGGGCUUAGUGGUGGGGUGACUGCGUACCUUUUGUAUAAUGGGUCAGCGACUUAUAUUCUGUAGCAAGGUUAACCGUAUAGGGGAGCCGGAGGGAAACCGAGUCUUAAUUGGGCGUUAAGUUGCAGGGUAUAGACCCGAAACCCGGUGAUCUAGCCAUGGGCAGGUUGAAGGUUGGGUAACACUAACUGGAGGACCGAACCGACUAAUGUUGAAAAAUUAGCGGAUGACCUGUGGCUGGGGGUGAAAGGCCAAUCAAACCGGGAGAUAGCUGGUUCUCCCCGAAAGCUAUUUAGGUAGCGCCUCGUGAAUUCAUCUCCGGGGGUAGAGCACUGUUUCGGCUAGGGGGCCAUCCCGGCUUACCAACCCGAUGCAAACUGCGAAUACCGGAGAAUGUUAUCACGGGAGACACACGGCGGGUGCUAACGUCCGUCGUGAAGAGGGAAACAACCCAGACCGCCAGCUAAGGUCCCAAAGUCAUGGUUAAGUGGGAAACGAUGUGGGAAGGCCCAGACAGCCAGGAUGUUGGCUUAGAAGCAGCCAUCAUUUAAAGAAAGCGUAAUAGCUCACUGGUCGAGUCGGCCUGCGCGGAAGAUGUAACGGGGCUAAACCAUGCACCGAAGCUGCGGCAGCGACACUAUGUGUUGUUGGGUAGGGGAGCGUUCUGUAAGCCUGUGAAGGUGUCUCGUGAGGGAUGCUGGAGGUAUCAGAAGUGCGAAUGCUGACAUAAGUAACGAUAAAGCGGGUGAAAAGCCCGCUCGCCGGAAGACCAAGGGUUCCUGUCCAACGUUAAUCGGGGCAGGGUGAGUCGACCCCUAAGGCGAGGCCGAAAGGCGUAGUCGAUGGGAAACGGGUUAAUAUUCCCGUACUUGGUGUUACUGCGAAGGGGGGACGGAGAAGGCUAUGUUGGCCGGGCGACGGUUGUCCCGGUUUAAGCGUGUAGGUGUGUGUUCCAGGUAAAUCCGGUUCACUUUAACACUGAGACGUGACGACGAGGCACUACGGUGCUGAAGCAACAAAUGCCCUGCUUCCAGGAAAAGCCUCUAAGCAUCAGGUAACAUCGAAUCGUACCCCAAACCGACACAGGUGGUCAGGUAGAGAAUACCAAGGCGCUUGAGAGAACUCGGGUGAAGGAACUAGGCAAAAUGGUGCCGUAACUUCGGGAGAAGGCACGCUGACACGUAGGUGAAGUGAUUUACUCACGGAGCUGAAGUCAGUCGAAGAUACCAGCUGGCUGCAACUGUUUAUUAAAAACACAGCACUGUGCAAACACGAAAGUGGACGUAUACGGUGUGACGCCUGCCCGGUGCCGGAAGGUUAAUUGAUGGGGUCAGCGCAAGCGAAGCUCCUGAUCGAAGCCCCGGUAAACGGCGGCCGUAACUAUAACGGUCCUAAGGUAGCGAAAUUCCUUGUCGGGUAAGUUCCGACCUGCACGAAUGGCGUAAUGAUGGCCAGGCUGUCUCCACCCGAGACUCAGUGAAAUUGAACUCGCUGUGAAGAUGCAGUGUACCCGCGGCAAGACGGAAAGACCCCGUGAACCUUUACUAUAGCUUGACACUGAACAUUGAGCCUUGAUGUGUAGGAUAGGUGGGAGGCUUUGAAGUGUGGACGCCAGUCUGCAUGGAGCCGACCUUGAAAUACCACCCUUUAAUGUUUGAUGUUCUAACGUGGACCCGUAAUCCGGGUUGCGGACAGUGUCUGGUGGGUAGUUUGACUGGGGCGGUCUCCUCCUAAAGAGUAACGGAGGAGCACGAAGGUUGGCUAAUCCUGGUCGGACAUCAGGAGGUUAGUGCAAUGGCAUAAGCCAGCUUGACUGCGAGCGUGACGGCGCGAGCAGGUGCGAAAGCAGGUCAUAGUGAUCCGGUGGUUCUGAAUGGAAGGGCCAUCGCUCAACGGAUAAAAGGUACUCCGGGGAUAACAGGCUGAUACCGCCCAAGAGUUCAUAUCGACGGCGGUGUUUGGCACCUCGAUGUCGGCUCAUCACAUCCUGGGGCUGAAGUAGGUCCCAAGGGUAUGGCUGUUCGCCAUUUAAAGUGGUACGCGAGCUGGGUUUAGAACGUCGUGAGACAGUUCGGUCCCUAUCUGCCGUGGGCGCUGGAGAACUGAGGGGGGCUGCUCCUAGUACGAGAGGACCGGAGUGGACGCAUCACUGGUGUUCGGGUUGUCAUGCCAAUGGCACUGCCCGGUAGCUAAAUGCGGAAGAGAUAAGUGCUGAAAGCAUCUAAGCACGAAACUUGCCCCGA
rnacentral:rRNA from 1 species